UACCCCUAAUAUCUUUUAUAAGUACAAUACAAUAACUUAUUCUUUAUAACAUAUUUUUCAGACUAAUGACUGGUUUGACGUCAUGAACGUCAGGGUUGCGUAUCCUGACACAAGACCGCGGACACACGCAUAUGGUCUAGCUCUGGAAGUGCAAAAUGACAUUCUGCAAAGAAUGGCGGAUAUGAUGGCGGAUAUGCGAGUCAUUGGAAAAACUAAUCCACUACCUUUUCAGAAAGGAAUUAUACAGUCGAUUUUAGCAUUGAAGCUGUUGUACGAAGACUUACAAACGCGCUUCAACUUAAAGUACGUGUUAACGUACCGACUAAACCAGGAAGUAUUGGAGAAUUUUUUCGGCGUUAUCCGGUCGAAAGGAGGCAUGAAUAACCACCCCGAUCGCCAGGAAUUUAAGUACAGGCUGCGCUCUUACAUCCUCGAUUACUUAGAUUAAAAUAGGGUACGCACUGCGACUAAGAGAUCUACUGAAUUUGCCGAUCAAGAGGAACACAAGCUGGAGUCCUUGGAGAACGACGGACUCGAGAAUCUUGCCGGUUACAUAUGUCAUAGGCUACAUAGCGUAGUGCCUGACAUGAGGGUGGAAUGUGACGACGACAGCUUCACCUGGGUAAACCAACUAACCGAAGGUGGUUUGUCAAGGCCAACGGAGGCGAUGAUGACUCACAUGCAGCAGCUGCAGAAUGUGUUUGAAGAAAUAAACGGCACUGGGUUGCAAGCAAUGGCCAAUUAUGUGGGAGAACAUAUUAAAAAAGCUGAACAUGUAAAUUGCCACGACAGAAUAAAGAGACUGUUUUUCCGUGCGCGAAUGUUCAUCAGAAUUCGAACUCUGAACAGACAGAUUUCUGAUAGUACACGCUCUCGAAAGCGGAAAUAUCGUAAAAUAAUAAAAUGAGCAACUCAAAAAAUCGUUAAAAAAUUGGCGAACCACGGCUGAUAGCCCACAAUAAUGACUAUGCAAUCCAAGCAUUGAUUGUGUAUUUUUAUGUUAUAGCGCCAACUCAGUACUGGACGCACUACUUCAACCAGCUAGAAUCAAGCAUUUUAUUCACUAAGCAAAAAUGAAAUGUAUCAAGUUCCACGGUGGUCCCUUUCGAGACUUUUGCUUCUCACACACCUCUGUUAUUGUAAUAUUGAAGAGCGAUUAUUCCUGGAGCUAUACAUUUUAUGCCGCAGAAUGAAGCGCUCCACAUGCACAUGUCGGAGAUAUGAACUAACUAAACACAGGUAAUUUUACGCGGACACCACUAGUUUUCACUUUUAUUCAUCGACAAAGGAGUUAAUUUAACACAACAACGCGUUUUCCAACAUUUAUUUUUAUUAAUAUGCUACAAUUUGUUAGAAGUUUCCUAAAUCAAUCGUCUGUGAAUCAAUUUGGGUUGCUUUGUUUACAUUGUUUUGUUUAUUUUUCCAGCAAAACAAGAUGGCGUAGAACCCGCUCAAAAAAUCGACUUUUUUCACUCUCUUGUUCUUACGUGAUCUUGUGUCUUUCGUUCAUGACUUGGUAGUACUAUUUCAUGGAAACCCAUGAUUCAAUAAUACAAGGUUCGAUAAACUGACAGUUGUCUCUCUCCCACCGCUCCCUUAGCAGUGGCAGAGUGUUGCUUCUUUGCAAAUUUACUUGGAAAAAGUGUAGUUUUGCUGUGAAAUGGAAGAAUAAGCUUUUAUGUUUAUUUGUAUAUGCAUAUUAAGCACAUUUAA
rnacentral:lncRNA from 1 species